AUUAGGGGACGGGGACCCAAAAGGCCGGCUCUGUUCGGGGACAGCCGUGAGGUAACAGAGGCGCCGGGCUGCCCCGCAGCCCCUCCACAGGACAGGCAGCACCCGACUGUUGUUUGACUUCAACGGAAAAAAUAAAUAAAUACAAAUCAUUUUAUGUUCUA